rnacentral:rRNA from 1 species
UACGUAGGUGGCAAGCGUUGUCCGGAAUUAUUGGGCGUAAAGCGCGCGCAGGCGGUCCUUUAAGUCUGAUGUGAAAGCCCACGGCUCAACCGUGGAGGGUCAUUGGAAACUGGGGGACUUGAGUACAGAAGAGAAGAGUGGAAUUCCACGUGUAGCGGUGAAAUGCGUAGAGAUGUGGAGGAACACCAGUGGCGAAGGCGACUCUUUGGUCUGUAACUGGACGCUGAGGCGCGAAAGCGUGGGGAGCAAACAGG